rnacentral:misc_RNA from 1 species
UGUUUCUCUGUCUUUCAUCAUCCUGUUAAGAUGAAAAAAUAUUCUCAGAAACUUUCAUCGAGCACGAAUAGGGUGUAGUAAUUUGAGUCCAUAUUAUUUUAAAUUAAAUCUAUGCUAUAUGACAUGGACAACACUUGAAAGAUAUGUCUAUUCAUCAAAUCGAGAACAAGCGUGUCUAACAAAUGUGAAAGGAGUUUUAAUGUUACUUUACCUAGUGGUGGCAACUUAGGCUAGUAUGUCAUGUUAGUGCUAUGUUGAUAGUCGACUAUAAGAAUAUUGGAAACAAUACUAGCAUAACAAGAUUGAUUAUUUGCAUAAAAAUCAAAGAAUAUAACACAGACCAUAUAUACCAAACAAGCAACACAAAACACCAUGUGUAACUUGUUUAACUAGUUAACUUGCCAAGGCCCACCUAACAAGGAUGACUAAAAUAUAAAUUUAGCCUUUUUCAUUUUCUCUUUUUUUU